UGAAAUGUUUCUGGCUCAGCCGAGCCUUCCUUUAAAAUAGUCACAUUAUCUGUCACAUUGGUGACAACAACAAAUGAAAGAAAUUGGACAUUAAUUUGCUCCCUGAAAAGCAUUGGGAAGAAUACAGGGUGAACAGAUGUUUCCUUUCUGAGGCAUGUGGGGGCCUGAGAAUGAAAGGCAAAGGAAGCAAGCAGAAAGAUGAAGAUGGUUCCCCUAACUGGCACUUUGGAUUUCGAAAUCCUACAAUCCUAGAUGACUGCAAGGGAGCUAUUGAAUCCAAUCUCCACUGCUGUAAAGAUGAGGAAAUGGAGAAUGAGAGAGGGUAAGGGACUUGACCAGGGUCACAUAGCUAGUAAGUGUUUCAGGCAGAAUUUAAACUCAGGCCUUCCGGAUUCAAGUCCAGUAUGUUGCCACCUAGAUGUUCUGGUUGUCCCUGCUGAUUUGGGGGUGAAAAGAGCUUCCUCGUGUACACAGCUCUGUUGUCAUUUGGGUGAUCCCGUGAUUCCAUUCCAUGGAGAUGUCAAGAGAUCUGGAAGAAGGCCAUGCUGAAUGGACCUCCGAAAGGAUUAAUACAAGCCUUGAGUGUCUCUGGAGACAGUGAAGAAAUGUAUCUUAAACAUUUGUAAUCCUGAUGCUGUCAUGAGCAAACUGGCUGUGCCUGAGAAAGCCUUGUAUCACAAGGAAUUGAGAUUAUUAACUAAUAAUUGAGAAAACUGACUUCUCAGAAUAAAAUUUGCGGAUGGGACUCCUAGGAUGUGUGGAAGGUGGCUCAGUGGAUAGAGCACUGGACUUGGAGUGAAG